AUUGGUGGCUGAACAUCGGCCAAGACAUCUGCCAAAACCUGCACUGAAUCUUCCGAGGAACUCGUAGUAUCCUCAUGCAUGAAGGAAUGAUGUGCUGGCACUUUCGGGCGAUGCAUUAUAGCGAUAUACAGUACGAAGAGCAUUUGCGGCCAUUUAUCAGCGCCUUUCCUGCACAGUUGGUAUGCAAAAGAGCAACGAACGCUACUACGUCAUCGCGGACUGUCCAAUGGCGACUACGCGCACACUCCAACUGGAUUCUUUUCUGGAUAUCCUCUCUUUCGCCGUAAUGGCAGAUAAUGCCUUUUACUUUCAGAACUAGAGGGAGAUGCCAGGCCGCGUAUGCAGAUUCCUCAAGAGUGCAAUCUCCAUCAACAACGGCGUCCCACAACAUCAU